rnacentral:tRNA from 1 species
UCCCUGAUGGUCCAGUGGCUAAGACUCUGAGUUCCCAAUGCAGGGAGCCCAGGUUCAAUUCCUGGUCAAGAAA